ACUAACUGGAGGACCGAACCGACUAAUGUUGAAAAAUUAGCGGAUGACUUGUGGCUGGGGGUGAAAGGCCAAUCAAACCGGGAGAUAGCUGGUUCUCCCCGAAAGCUAUUUAGGUAGCGCCUCGUGAAUUCAUCUCCGGGGGUAGAGCACUGUUUCGGCAAGGGGGUCAUCCCGACUUACCAACCCGAUGCAAACUGCGAAUACCGGAGAAUGUUAUCACGGGAGACACACGGCGGGUGCUAACGUCCGUCGUGAAGAGGGAAACAACCCAGACCGCCAGCUAAGGUCCCAAAGUCAUGGUUAAGUGGGAAACGAUGUGGGAAGGCCCAGACAGCCAGGAUGUUGGCUUAGAAGCAGCCAUCAUUUAAAGAAAGCGUAAUAGCUCACUGGUCGAGUCGGCCUGCGCGGAAGAUGUAACGGGGCUAAACCAUGCACCGAAGCUGCGGCAGCGACACUAUGUGUUGUUGGGUAGGGGAGCGUUCUGUAAGCCUGCGAAGGUGUGCUGUGAGGCAUGCUGGAGGUAUCAGAAGUGCGAAUGCUGACAUAAGUAACGAUAAAGCGGGUGAAAAGCCCGCUCGCCGGAAGACCAAGGGUUCCUGUCCAACGUUAAUCGGGGCAGGGUGAGUCGACCCCUAAGGCGAGGCCGAAAGGCGUAGUCGAUGGGAAACAGGUUAAUAUUCCUGUACUUGGUGUUACUGCGAAGGGGGGACGGAGAAGGCUAUGUUGGCCGGGCGACGGUUGUCCCGGUUUAAGCGUGUAGGCUGGUUUUCCAGGCAAAUCCGGAAAAUCAAGGCUGAGGCGUGAUGACGAGGCACUACGGUGCUGAAGCAACAAAUGCCCUGCUUCCAGGAAAAGCCUCUAAGCAUCAGGUAACAUCAAAUCGUACCCCAAACCGACACAGGUGGUCAGGUAGAGAAUACCAAGGCGCUUGAGAGAACUCGGGUGAAGGAACUAGGCAAAAUGGUGCCGUAACUUCGGGAGAAGGCACGCUGAUAUGUAGGUGA
rnacentral:rRNA from 1 species